UUGAACGCUGGCGGCAGGCCUAACACCUGCAAGUCGAGCGGAUGAAGGGAGCUUGCUCCUGGAUUCAGCGGCGGACGGGUGAGUAAUGCCUAGGAAUCUGCCUGGUAGUGGGGGAUAACGUCCGGAAACGGGCGCUAAUACCGCAUACGUCCUGAGGGAGAAAGUGGGGGAUCUUCGGACCUCACGCUAUCAGAUGAGCCUAGGUCGGAUUAGCUAGUUGGUGGGGUAAAGGCCUACCAAGGCGACGAUCCGUAACUGCUCUGAGAGGAUGAUCAGUCACACUGGAACUGAGACACGGUCCAGACUCCUACGGGAGGCAGCAGUGGGGAAUAUUGGACAAUGGGCGAAAGCCUGAUCCAGCCAUGCCGCGUGUGUGAAGAAGGUCUUCGGAUUGUAAAGCACUUUAAGUUGGGAGGAAGGGCAGUAAGUUAAUACCUUGCUGUUUUGACGUUACCAACAGAAUAAGCACCGGCUAACUUCGUG
rnacentral:rRNA from 1 species